rnacentral:rRNA from 1 species
AUUGAACGCUGGCGGCAUGCCUUACACAUGCAAGUCGAACGGCAGCACGGGUGCUUGCACCUGGUGGCGAGUGGCGAACGGGUGAGUAAUACAUCGGAACAUGUCCUGUAGUGGGGGAUAGCCCGGCGAAAGCCGGAUUAAUACCGCAUACGAUCUACGGAUGAAAGCGGGGGCCCUUCGGGCCUCGCGCUAUAGGGUUGGCCGAUGGCGGAUUCGCUAGUUGGUGGGGUAAAGGCCUACCAAGGCGACGAUCAGUAGCUGGUCUGAGAGGACGACCAGCCACACUGGAACUGAGACACGGCCCAGACUCCUACGGGAGGCAGCAGUGGGGAAUUUUGGACAAUGGGCGAAAGCCUGAUCCAGCAAUGCCGCGUGUGUGAAGAAGGCCUUCGGGUUGUAAAGCACUUUUGUCCGGAAAGAAAUCCUUGGCCCUAAUACGGUCGGGGGAUGACGGUACCGGAAGAAUAAGCACCGGCUAACUACGUG